CUCUUUUAGAGUGUGGCACCAAGUCAGACAUGAAUGGAAGAAAGGGAACUUCUGCACGUGUCAAAGCCUGCUCUUAGAAUUCUCUGACUGUGCUCUUUGGAGAACCUUUUCCUAUAAGCUACCACCAUGACCAAGUUUUGCUAUUUGCCUGCAAAGACAACUUAGCAUCCUUCAUUUCUGUUCCUAAAAAUAGCAGGCAGCUACAGAAAACAUCUUUCACCACCCUGAAAUGCACAUCAGUGAAUUUGCUUAAAACUCAUUGCACCAGCUAACUACUAGAACAAAUGUGCUUGAACUGCAUGCUAGAUUCUCCCUUUUCCUCCUUUCUGAAAGAGAAAGGAACCAACUGAAAAGAUCCACAAACAUAACUCCAGCCAUUUUUAAGUAGCUGAACUAUUUUAAUGCAUCGCUGCUGCUAAUCAAAGAUCUGGAAGGGCCAAGGAAACCCAGGGACGUUGGAUGCUGUGCAUGCUGAAGCAUGACUGCCUACACAGAACACAUGGGAGGUGCAGCGUCUGUGAGAAGAACAAAGUAAAUUUGAGCAAAAUAUGGUCAAAACUGGAUAUGGAAGUAUCUAAAGCAAAGCCACAUGUGUGCACGUGUCUGCGUUUUCUGUCCAUGAAGCUGCUGGAGUGCAAGGAGCGCAGGGCUUGGGCUUCACGUAGGUCUAUGGCAAAACAGCAUGAAUUCUGGGAUGUAGAUGGUUCAGGCUAAGCAUUAUCAGUACAGAUCUUGUCUCACAGCCCAAAGUUCUUAAAAUUUGUCCUGCGUUGGUAAACUUAAGAACAUAAGGUCCGGUGAUUAUCGAGCACACCACAGAGCACAGGGAGUCACACAGGACCUGACAGAACCUUGUGAUAUGACUUCAGUUCCGAUGCUUUUCUCAAUAUGAUACUUUCUGGUCUGUUACUGUGAUCAUCACCCAUUAGCCACGGUCAUAAGCCACUGAGAAUAGAUUUCAUUUCUCAUGAACAAAUGUCUUUGUGAACCCAGUUCAGAAAACAGCCGUCUUGAUCUCGUUACUGGUUGUGCACUCCCAUUUCAAGACAUUCAGGACAUUCCAAUAUGCGUGUUACUUCUUUUUUUUUUUUUUUUUUUUAAUUAAAAAUUGUAUAUGGUGAAGUUUUCUGCUGAGAAUUGUUAGUACGUGGAUCUACAGCAAGAUCUUUUUACAGUUUAAUGUGUAGCUCUCUGGUCCAUAAGCACUGAGAGAAAAGAAAUGCAUUGGAGAGCAUCAACAUCCUCACCUUUGUCCAGGGAGAGUGGCACACAUCAUGCUCAAGUUCUUCUCAUUUAGGCUGGUCCCCAGAACACCUCUGCACAUAUUGUCUACUUUUCUUCUUCGCUUUGCCAUCUCAUUCCUUGGGAAUGCCACAAAAGUUGUGUCUGAAUUGCAUUUCCCCAGAAACAAACGGCCAUGUAUCUUAGACUUCUGGGGCUAUCAUUCUUAGGGGGAUAGUUACGGUUGCACCAAACCCUUUCCCAGAAGGGCAGUUCUUUGAUGAAAAGAGUCCUGAGGGACCAGGGAGGAGACAGAAUGAAAGAAGAUUCUUGCUUUUCCCAUUUUGAUCUCCCCUGCCGCAACAUCUUUCAGUCCAGCAGCACGAGGUGCCAGAAAAGAUGAUGUGUUCCUCCUGCAGCUGCUGCCAGAGAGCACUGCUGGACAACACGCGCAUGCUACCCUCCAACUGCUGCUGGCCUGCCUGCAAACCAGCCUUCCACAGCUGUUCUCAGCGCCAUCGCUAUCAAAUCACCUCAGAACAUUGCUGAAUGCUGCUGUCCUACCAGAGUGACUCAUCUGCCCGGGCUCCCAGCACACCCACACAAGUGUGAGUAAAGGUGGGAUUCCUGCGCUGUAACCACCACUGUCAGCGCAGAGACUGCAUCCACGCUAAGAGGCAUCACCAUCAGAUGCUUUGCUGAUCUCCAUUUGCUGUUGCUGUGCUGCUGGAGCAUGUGUACCGCUGGGUGUUCUCUUCCAGAGCUGAGCAUCCUCGUUGGAGGUGCUGGCACUGCCAGCAUGGGGCACACAGCUGCUGACACGGCUGUGCUGCUGGAGUGUGCCCACUUGGCACGUUGUUUGGAGCCGUGUGUCAGCUGUGACCUUGUGUGCUUGGUGCAGACAAUGGAGGGCCUGGAUUCUACCAAGAUACUGCAUGGUUUUCGCAUGGCCGUGUAAAAAGCAGUGGCAGCAAAACAUGGCACACUUUUCUUUCUCUGCUGAUGGGAAUUUCAUGUUUAUCCAAAUGAAAGCAUCUUGAUACAUUUGCAUUCUUGUGUGGUUUCUAGACUUUUUCAUAUGGAACUCUUUACUCUUUUGAAAUAAACUGCACGUAGUUAUUUAAAGGAGCUCUUGCCAGCUCAGUGGAAACAAACACUACACAAAGGCUUGACCGUAUCAGCUGGCAAUUGCUUGCUCCUUCAAGCUAAGAGUGAAGUACUAACCACAACUCAUUUAGGCUUCUAUAAAACCAGCACAAAACCUUCUCCAAGAUUUCAGUUGCUUCCAGGCAUGGCGUGGAAUGUUUCCCAGCAUGUUUGUCUGGAUUACCCAAAGAACAAGACAUUCACAACCUCUUCUGGUUUCUCCUUCACUGAGAACAUUCAGAUUCUUUGCAGAGGUGGCACCAGCGCUCAUCAGAAGGGUUCCUGUAUUCCUCCAAGGGAAGCCAUAGGCAAGUGCACUUGUCGUGCCUUGUUAAAGCUUUUGCUCCAGUGUACAAAAUCUGUUUAUGAUUUCUGGUUUUGUAUCUCAGACUAAGAGAAAACACCGUGCUCCCCAUGGCUCUUCCCUGAUGAAGAAGUGCACUGUUAGCCUGGCAAACCAGCAGCAGGAGCAGAGGAAACGCUGGAUUAAAAACGCUCCAGUGUGCUGCAAUUACCCAACGUGGCUUUUGCUUCUCAACAGCCCUAAUUUUUCCCGUUGUUUUGCAUUUCAAAGAUGAAUAAAGCAUACAUGUAGCCAACUGUUGGUGUCUCUGCUGAAAUGAUACAGUGGUAUAGCCCUGACACAGCCCCAGACUCUCACACAGAAGACACACGUUAUUCAUAAAGUGGUUCUCCCUAAAAAUGGAGCACUCCUGCAAUCUCUUCCACUUCCUAAAUAAGCUAACAGCUUCUGUGUAGAGGUAGUGAAUGACCACAAG
ensembl:lncRNA